UGGGGAAUUUUGGACAAUGGGCGCAAGCCUGAUCCAGCCAUUCCGCGUGCAGGACGAAGGCCUUCGGGUUGUAAACUGCCUUUGUACGGAACGAAAAGGCUCUGGCUAAUACCUGGGGCUCAUGACGGUACCGUAAGAAUAAGCACCGGCUAACUACGUGCCAGCAGCCGCGGUAAUACGUAGGGUGCAAGCGUUAAUCGGAAUUACUGGGCGUAAAGCGUGCGCAGGCGGUUAUGUAAGACAGAGGUGAAAUCCCCGGGCUCAACCUGGGAACUGCCUUUGUGACUGCAUAGCUGGAGUACGGCAGAGGGGGAUGGAAUUCCGCGUGUAGCAGUGAAAUGCGUAGAUAUGCGGAGGAACACCUAUGACGAAGGCAAUCCCCUGGGCCUGUACUGACGCUCAUGCACGAAAGCGUGGGGAACAAACA
rnacentral:rRNA from 1 species